AAACUUAUGAAACUAUAAACAAAGAAAGAAAAUAAAAAAAUAAAAAGAAAAAAAUGAAAGCAACAGAAAAAAGAUAAAUAAAGCACAAAAAAACAAAAAUUAUAAAAAGUAAGAAAAGAAAAAAGGACAAAAUUUGAAUAUAAAAUUUCAAAAAUGAAAUGGAAUGACAAAAAGAAAAAAAAUAGUUUAAAAAAUACAAAAAAUUGAAAAACAUAUAAGACCUAACAAUAUAAAAAGUCAGACAAAAAAUGAAAAAAGAGAAAAGUUAAUGC
rnacentral:lncRNA from 1 species